GGGCAUGGAUAUGACGGGCUCCGGCUACUCCGACCUCCACCUCCUGGACGCCACUACCGGAGCUAGAGAAGGCGCCAGCGACGAUGCCGGUGACAACUUCCUGGAGUUGUUCGAUGGUGACCAAUCCACGUACGCAAUUAUGUUGGAAUUAACCACGAGUCCUAGUCCGGCUUGGACUUGGAACCGUCACCGUGUAGGUAUAGGAUUAGUAGUUGUCUUGGUUAGCUACUAUAUAUACGUACAAGUACCCCUGUAAUAUUGUAUCAGAUCGUGAGAUCAAAUCAAUAAGAAGUAGUAGCAGGGCCGAUACGGUCCUGUGGCCAUAAA
rnacentral:lncRNA from 1 species